CCGAGGUCGGCAGGGGUGACUUUCGGCGGUUGCAGCUCGCUGAAAGGCUUGAGGCCGCGGUUCGAUUCCAUGCCCUUGCGC
rnacentral:tRNA from 1 species